rnacentral:rRNA from 1 species
GAUGAACGCUGGCGGCGUGCAUAACACAUUCAAGUCGAACGGACAGUAGCAAUACUGUUAGUGGCGGACGGGUGAGUAACGCGUGAGCAAUCUGCCUUUCGGUGAGGAAUAACAGGGAGAAAUCGCUGCUAAUACCUCAUGACGUAGCGGUAUCGCAUGGUACUGCUACCAAAGAUUUAUCGCCGAAAGAUGAGCUCGCGUCCGAUUAGGUAGUUGGUGAGAUAAAAGCCCACCAAGCCGACGAUCGGUAGCCGAACUGAGAGGUUGAACGGCCACAUUGGAACUGAGAUACGGUCCAGACUCCUACGGGAGGCAGCAGUGGGGAAUAUUGGGCAAUGGGCGCAAGCCUGACCCAGCGACGCCGUGUGAGGGAAGAAGGUCUUCGGAUUGUAAACCUUUGUCAACAGGGACGAAACAAAUGACGGUACCUGUGGAGGAAGCCACGGCUAACUACGUG